AGUCUCCAUUCUCCUGAGUGGGCCGGUUGGGGCUUCCUGGAGGAAGGAAGCAGCUUGCUCCGGGUGGGGAGGCCGGCCAUUCACAGGCUCCCGGAAUCAAGCCUGGCCUACAGAACCUUCAGUCUGCACAGACAGGCUGGGGAAACGCUUACUGGGCAUCAGGGUAGCUGUAGCCGCACCAGCAGAACAGGUACACGGGGUGGCAGGUGUCCAUAGGGGGAGCUGGCACACUCAGGUAACCACACUCAGAAGGUCUGGCUCAGAGCUGCCGGUUCCAUGCAGAAAGGGACUGCAGAUGCUCGUCAGCAGUCAGAAAACUUGAGCCUGGGAUGGCUGUAGCUCUGAAGCCAGCAGCAGGCUCGUCACCCGGUACCAUCUCCCCUGGUCUCUAAACCACUGCGGAUCUGUAGCCGUUUUCAUACCUCACAACUGAGGCCAGUCAGGACCGUACCGGUUUUGCCUAAUGGCUGCGGAGUCAGAAGGUCAGGGGCUGGAGGGGCUGGACAUGAGUGUUGGGCUGCAGGUAGAACGCGGGUUCCUUCCGGUGCCGUACUGGGGAAGGAGCUAGAAACAGUGUGCGCAUCCUGGGCAAGCAGUCUGUCACUGGGCUUCACCGUGAUGCCUUCUCUCCUUUGCUAAAACCAUGGCUGCUUCUCAGCGUCUUACCCACGAGGAUAAGGAGGGGCUUCCAGCUAAGAGGGGUGCACCUGUCCAAGGGCCGGUUUUGAAGAAGGAGACGCUUCAGUCUGGAAAGAUAGAGACUCAAGAGACAGGAGUCAGGUUUCUCAAGUUAUCCAGGGAAGGGAAGCCGGCCUGGCCUGAGGACUGCAGGGUGCGACCUUGAGAGCCGUGCACUGAAGCCGCGUAAUCUAGCAGAAAAUGGCUUAGCUGGGAGCAUCUGUUUGAACCAAGUGAAACAGGCCGGGGAGGUUCUAAAGGGACCUAGGAAAUGGCACCAAGGGACACCAGUGGGUGGGACAUGAACCCGUGGGGGUCACAGCAGAACUCAAGUCUAGUCUGUGUGGGUCAGAAGGUGGUAUACUUUCAUUUAAUGUUUUCAGAGCGAGUGAGAGGAAGAAUAAGAACGCAUGUGUGGAACUGAACGAACAAAAA